GUUUAGUGGCCAAGUGUGUUGAUGUUAAAACACACAAGGAAUUUGGUUCCAACUGUGACUCUGAAAAGUACAGACAUAAACAACAUUAUACAUUUAGCUUGGACUACACAAGACAGGUGAGACAAUACAAGAAUUGCCAGACCAGUGUAGCGAUUUUGGGUCGCGAAGCAAGGCUCUGAUUGGCCUGCAGCCCUGUCCCACACCCACUCUGAUGGGCACUAUCCCUGGUGCUGAAGUGCCCUGUUUUCGCUAGCAUUGUUGCAUGAGUUGCUAUCUCACCAUCAGUGGCUGUAUGAAGCCUGUUGCCACAGAACACACUUUAGAACCUAGUUUGCUGAUUAAUUUGCCACAUGUUUAACUUGCUAUUGUGAGAAAACUAAAAACAAUGAUUAUGUUGUAAUAAAACAAUCACAUCUUUUCAGAGCAUGUUAAAUCACAACAGGUAUAAAUCAUUUCAAAACUUAUGAUCAGAAUUUUAAUAUUGGGUUUAGUGCCAAGACUGAAAUCAGAAUUAGCAUACACUCAGAGACAGUGUGGUGAUUACCAUGACAGCACUGUCUUGUCUCAGCUCUGUGCAUCACCUAAUUUAUAUUCAUGAGCCUGCUGUAAACUGAAAUUUCAUGUUAGAGGAAACAAAAACCUUUACAUGUAGGAAAUAAAGUAUUUUAUUGCUUCUGUUAACAUGUGAAAUUUAGAUUCAUCAUCCAUCUUGAAACGCAAACUGCAACAAUACACUUUGGGUAAUGCUGAUAACUCGAAUUCUCUCUUGUGAUGAAGUUAUAGAACAUUCUUUUACAAGAUAUAUAUCAAACCAUGUUGGAGUGGAGAAAAAUAACAAAGAGUAAGAAAACAACCAGGAAACGCUUUAACUUUUUUUUUUAAUUAUGCAAGCAGACAAUAACAAUAUUUACAGAAGAGAAAUUAGAUGCGAAAUACAAAUACAAAGACCAACAAAAUGUGUGUGUGUGUAACUGUAAGUGUAACUGCGUGUGGAAGUGGAUAUGUAUGAA